rnacentral:rRNA from 1 species
UUCCGGUUGAUCCCGCCGGAAGUUACUGCUAUCGAGGUUCGACUAAGCCAUGCGAGUCGAAUGUAGCAAUACAUGGCGAACUGCUCAGUAACACGUGGACAACCUGCCCUUAGGUUGGGUAUAAACCCGGGAAACUGGGUAUAAUACCCGAUAGGUCUCGAUUGCUGGAAUGCAUCGAGAUUUAAAGCUCCGGCGCCUAAGGAUGGGUCUGCGGCCUAUCAGGUAGUAGUGGGUGUAGCGUACCUACUAGCCUACGACGGGUACGGGUUGUGAGAGCAAGAGCCCGGAGAUGGAUUCUGAGACACGAAUCCAGGCCCUACGGGGUGCAGCAGGCGCGAAAACUUUACAAUGCUGGCAACAGCGAUAAGGGAACCUCGAGUGCCAGGUUACAAAUCUGGCUGUCGAGAUGCCUAAAAAGCAUUUCAUAUCAAGGGCCGGGCAAGACCGGUGCCAGCCGCCGC